rnacentral:tRNA from 1 species
CUGGAAGUAGCUCAUCUUGGUAGAGCACUUGGUUUGGGACCUAGGGGUCGCAGGUUAGAAUUCUGUGUUCCCGA